rnacentral:misc_RNA from 1 species
GAUGAAGAACGCAGCGAAAUGCGAUAAGUAAUGUGAAUUGCAGAAUUCAGUGAAUCAUCGAAUCUUUGAACGCACAUUGCGCCCCUUGGUAUUCCGGGGGGCAUGCCUGUUCGAGCGUCAUUAUAACCCUCAAGCCUAGCUUGGUGUUGGAGCAUGCUACCUAAGCAGCUCUUAAAAUCAGUGGCAGUGCCCUUCGGCUCUAAGCGUAGUAACUUCUCUCGCUAUGGAACCCGGAGGGUACGCGCCAGAACCCCCAACUUUCUAUGGUUGACCUCGGAUCAGGUAGGGAUACCCGCUGAACUUAAGCAUAUCAUAAGCGGAGGA